UACGGAGGGGGCGAGCGUUAUUCGGAAUUAUUGGGCGUAAAGGGCGCGUAGGUGGCCCGGUAAGUCAAAGGUGAAAUCCCUCGGCUCAACUGAGGAAUUGCCUUUGAAACUGCCAGGCUCGAGGCCGGGAGGGGGUAGCGGAAUUCCCAGUGUAGCGGUGAAAUGCGUAGAUACUGGGAGGAACACCAGUGGCGAAAGCGGCUCUCUGGAACGGUACUGACGCUGAGACGCGAAAGCGUGGGGAGCGAACAGG
rnacentral:rRNA from 1 species